rnacentral:rRNA from 1 species
UACGAAGGGGGCUAGCGUUGUUCGGAUUUACUGGGCGUAAAGCGCACGUAGGCGGAUUGGUCAGUUAGGGGUGAAAUCCUGGAGCUCAACUCCAGAACUGCCUUUAAUACUGCCAGUCUCGAGUCCGGAAGAGGUAAGUGGAACUCCUAGUGUAGAGGUGGAAUUCGUAGAUAUUAGGAAGAACACCAGUGGCGGAGGCGGCUUACUGGUCCGGUACUGACGGCUGAGGUGCGAAAGCGUGG